rnacentral:misc_RNA from 1 species
AUGGGAUUGCUAUGACGAGUUGGCAGGUGUUUAAAUGGUGCAGCCACAUAGUGAGGAUUAAGAGGAAUGUCCGCUGACCACAUCUCGGUUACCUCUGCAUUAAUUUGCUUGAUCUCUUCUACGAUUGUUGGAAGUGAGCAAAAACAAUGCCAAAAAACAUUAUAUUUAGCACAAAUAGAGUCAAUGGAAACCCCAGCUUCAUAUGCCAAAUUGAUGGUACGUCUUUGAAGAUCUUUAUGUUCAUGGUGCACCUUUGUGACAUCUCUGAAAAUG